rnacentral:rRNA from 1 species
UACGGAGGGUGCGAGCGUUGUCCGGAAUCACUGGGCGUAAAGGGCGCGUAGGCGGUUCGUUAAGUCCUGUGUGAAAUCCCCCGGCUCAACUGGGGAACUGCACAGGAAACUAGCGGGCUUGAGUUCGGGAGAGGGAAGCGGAAUUCCGGGUGUAGCGGUGAGAUGCGUAGAUAUCGGAGGAACACCGGUGGCGAAGGCGGCUUCCUGGACCGACACUGACGCUGAGGCGCGAAAGCUAGGGGAGCAAACGGG